UACGUAGGCAGCGAGCGUUGUUCGGAGUUACUGGGCGUAAAGCGUGCGUAGGCGGUGGUCCAAGUCUGGUGUGGAAUCUCCCGGCUUAACUGGGAGGGUGCGCCGGAAACUGGGCCGCUGGAGUACGGGAGAGGCAAGCGGAAUUCCAGGUGUAGCGGUGAAAUGCGUAGAUAUCUGGAGGAACACCCGUGGUGCAGACGGCUUGCUGGACCGUGACUGACGCUGAGGCACGAAAGCGUGGGUAGCAAACAGG
rnacentral:rRNA from 1 species